UGGGGAAUAUUGCACAAUGGGCGCAAGCCUGAUGCAGCCAUGCCGCGUGUAUGAAGAAGGCCUUCGGGUUGUAAAGUACUUUCAGCGGGGAGGAAGGUGUUGAGGUUAAUAACCUCAGCAAUUGACGUUACCCGCAGAAGAAGCACCGGCUAACUCCGUGCCAGCAGCCGCGGUAAUACGGAGGGUGCAAGCGUUAAUCGGAAUUACUGGGCGUAAAGCGCACGCAGGUGGUCUGUCAAGUCGGAUGUGAAAUCCCCGGGCUCAACCUGGGAACUGCAUUCGAAACUGGCAGGCUAGAGUCUUGUAGAGGGGGGUAGAAUUCCAGGUGUAGCGGUGAAAUGCGUAGAGAUCUGGAGGAAUACCGGUGGCGAAGGCGGCCCCCUGGACAAAGACUGACGCUCAGGUGCGAAAGCGUGGGGAGCAAACA
rnacentral:rRNA from 1 species